GUGGGGAAUCUUGCGCAAUGGGCGAAAGCCUGACGCAGCCAUGCCGCGUGAAUGAUGAAGGUCUUAGGAUUGUAAAAUUCUUUCACCGGGGACGAUAAUGACGGUACCCGGAGAAGAAGCCCCGGCUAACUUCGUGCCAGCAGCCGCGGUAAUACGAAGGGGGCUAGCGUUGCUCGGAAUUACUGGGCGUAAAGGGCGCGUAGGCGGACAGUUUAGUCAGAGGUGAAAGCCCAGGGCUCAACCUUGGAAUUGCCUUUGAUACUGGCUGUCUUGAGUACGGGGGAGGUGAGUGGAACUCCGAGUGUAGAGGUGAAAUUCGUAGAUAUUCGGAAGAACACCAGUGGCGAAGGCGACUCACUGGCCCGUUACUGACGCUGAGGCGCGAAAGCGUGGGGAGCAAACAGGAUUAGAUACCCUAGUAGUCC
rnacentral:rRNA from 1 species